rnacentral:tRNA from 4 species
ACUUUUAAAGGAUGGGAGCCAUCCGUUGGCCUUAGGAGUCAAAAAAU